rnacentral:rRNA from 1 species
AGUGAACGCUGGCGGUAGGCCUAACACAUGCAAGUCGAACGGCAGCACAGUAAGAGCUUGCUCUUACGGGUGGCGAGUGGCGGACGGGUGAGGAAUACAUCGGAAUCUACUUUUUCGUGGGGGAUAACGUAGGGAAACUUACGCUAAUACCGCAUACGACCUACGGGUGAAAGCAGGGGAUCUUCGGACCUUGCGCGAUUGAAUGAGCCGAGGUCGGAUUAGCUAGUUGGCGGGGUAAAGGCCCACCAAGGCGACGAUCCGUAGCUGGUCUGAGAGGAUGAUCAGCCACACUGGAACUGAGACACGGUCCAGACGCCUACGGGAGGCAGCAGUGGGGAAUAUUGGACAAUGGGCGCAAGCCUGAUCCAGCCAUACCGCGUGGGUGAAGAAGGCCUUCGGGUUGUAAAGCCCUUUUGUUGGGAAAGAAAAGCAGCAGGUUAAUACCCCGCUGUUCUGACGGUACCCAAAGAAUAAGCACCGGCUAACUUCGUG